ACUAUAUAUAAAAUAUAGUCUAUCGGAUUUGAUUUAGGGAAUACUCGGUGCCGAACAUUCUAAAUGUGGCGACUCCGAUGAGAUAUUGGGUAGCGCCAGGGGGUGUGAUAUAGGAGUAGGAACUCAGAAACUCCAGGGUCAGCGCUUCGUAGGUUGGCUGCGGUGUGGUACACAGUUGCGUCAAGCUGGAGUUUGUCAGCAUCCACUCCACGCCCUCCAAAAGUCCUAGCUCCGUCAAGCAUUCAUGAUCAACACACCUCGUAGCUUGAACGGAGCGUUGGUAGAACUUGAGGUAGUUGCUUCUUUGGCGUUCGCCGGCUUCUCCAUUUCUGAAUACGACGGUUGAUAG
rnacentral:lncRNA from 1 species